rnacentral:rRNA from 1 species
AUUGAACGCUGGCGGCAGGCCUAACACAUGCAAGUCGAGCGAGCGGCGGACGGGUGAGUAAUGUCUGGGAAACUGCCCGAUGGAGGGGGAUAACUACUGGAAACGGUAGCUAAUACCGCAUUCCACUAGCUGUGCUCAGAUGGGAUUAGCUAGUUGGUGGGGUAACGGCUCACCUAGGCGACGAUCCCUAGCUGGUCUGAGAGGAUGACCGGCCACACUGGAACUGAGACACGGUCCAGACUCCUACGGGAGGCAGCAGUGGGGAAUAUUGCGCAAUGGGCGCAAGCCUGAUGCAGCCAUGCCGCGUGUGUGAAGAAGGCCUUCGGGUUGUAAAGCACUUUCAGCGGGGAGGCGUUACCCGCAGAAGAAGCACCGGCUAACUCCGUGCCAGCAGCCGCGGUAAUAC